rnacentral:rRNA from 1 species
UACAGAGGGGGCAAGCGUUGUUCGGAAUUACUGGGCGUAAAGGGCGCGUAGGCGGCCUGCUAAGUCGAACGUGAAAUCCCCGAGCUCAACUCGGGAACUGCGUCCGAUACUGGCAGGCUUGAAUCCGGGAGAGGGAUGCGGAAUUCCAGGUGUAGCGGUGAAAUGCGUAGAUAUCGGGAGGAACACCAGUGGCGAAGGCGACUUCCUGGCCUGUUCUUGACGCUGAGGCGCGAAAGCUAGGGGAGCAAACGGG